UUACCCAACCUUCUAUAGAACACAGCAUGUGUACUGCCGUUGUAAGCAUACCUUUAAAAGAUCAGUAUGCCGCUAUGAAUAUAAAUCAUAUACAUCAGGUCAAAGUGCAGCCAAUAAGAAGGUGAUGAUGGGUUACAACCCCAAACUAGACUAUCAACUAAGAAAUUAAAAAUCUUACGAAAGUGGACUUGGCCGUAAUUAAUUCUAACUAAAAGAAAUGAAUAUUAUCUAAGACAUGUACACAUCGCCCGUCACUCUAUCCUAAAGGUUAGAUAAGUCGUAACAAAGUAGGUGUAAUGGAAAUUGUACCUGUCGAAGUAUAGCAUAUAUAAUGCUUUUUACUUACACUAAAAAUAAAGUUGACACUUACUUCGCCCAAAACAAAAAUCUUAAAAAUUUAUUAAUUAUAUAAACAACUAAGUUAACAAUUAAAUAGUACAGAAAUGGAAAUAACAAUAAAUAAAAGUAAAUAUUAACAAAUAUACCUUGUGCAUUAUGGUUUUACAAGAAAAAAAUUAAAAUAUAAAUCCCGAAUUCUGAAUGAGAUGUUAAACUGCUGUCACGAACCCACUAAUAACUGUAGAAAAAGCUUUAAAAGACAGAUUAACAGAGGCUACAUACCAUCCGCAUAAGAAUAUAGCUGGUCUUCAACAAACAUUAUAUAUUAAAACAUAUAAUAGAAUUAUAGUGUAAAAUUAUUGAGGAUAAGCCCAAUAAUCAGCGCAAUAUUAAUACAUUCUUGCAUAACUCCUAGGCCUAAUAUCAGCCAAUUAAAAUACUUUACCGUAAUACGCACAGAUAAAAUAUAUAUUAUACAUAAUGCCAAAUAAAGUUGAAAAAGUGGGAAAAUUAACUACCCAUAAAUAUAAUGUAAAAAUAAGUAUUAUAAAUAAAUAACCUCUAAAACCAAGAACAAACAACACACAUAUAACAAUAAUUAAUUAAGGAACUCGGCAAAUAACUAUUUCGACUGUUUAACAAAAACAUUGUCUUAUGAAUAUAAUAUAAGAUAAUACCUGCCC
rnacentral:rRNA from 1 species